GGGGUUGUGGCUCAGCAGUAGAGUGCUUGCCUAGCAUGUAUGAGGCCCUAGGUUCAAUCCUCAGCACCA
rnacentral:tRNA from 1 species